rnacentral:snRNA from 1 species
GGAUGUUUGGGUGAGCUGACUCGACAUUGACAAUUCUUUGUUGUUCCAUUGAACUCAAAGGCUGAUCUGACUGGCUACAAGGCUGUCUCCUUCCUCCUUCUCACUGUUCUGUGUGUUAUCCCUCAGCCUCCUGCUAGAUCUAAGAGGACAUUAGCUAAACAUAGGUUGACUGUGGAUUAUAUUUUGGCCAGAGAAUAGGAGCAGCUUCACUUUCCUUCUAGAACCUCCAUAAAAGCUCUCAAAAACCAAAACACACACCUCAAAAUAAUGCAGUAUAGGCAGUGUCUAAAUGAUCAUUUCUUAAAUUUGCAUCUGCUUUUGUCAUAGUAGCACUGAAC